AGCUCCAAUAGCGUAUAUUAAAGUUGCUGCAGUUAAAAAGCUCGUAGUUGCAUUUCCGAGGCAAGGGAUUAGUCCGACCUUUGGUGGGUAUUUAAUCCUCUUGCCUCGUCCUUGAGUGGUGCUUCUUGGUAUUAAGUUAUCGAGGAGAUAGCCGCUCAUCGUUUACUGUGAGAAAAUUAGAGUGUUCAAAGCAGGCUUAUGCCGUUGAAUAUAUUAGCAUGGAAUAAUAAGAUAGGACCUCGGUACUAUUUUGUUGUUUUGAGAACCAAGGUAAUGAUGAAUAGGGACAGUUGGGGGUAUUCGUAUUCAGUUGUCAGAGGUGAAAUUCUUAGAUUUACGGAAGACGAACUACUGCGAAAGCAUUUUCCAAGGAUGUUUUCA
rnacentral:rRNA from 1 species